CCCUGGAGGUAAAGCUCCAGAGUUUUUGGCACUAAAUGAGGAUGUUAUUGUACUAGUGAAACAAUUUAUGGAAGCCAGGAAACCAGUUGCAUCCAUCUGCCAUGGCCUGGAAAUUUUAGUUGCUGCUGGUGUUCUGCAGGGGAAGAAAUGUACUGGAUAUGCCAUGGCCUGGAAACCUGGAAACCAGGAAACCAGUUGCAUCAAUCUGCCUUGGCCUGGAAAUUUUAGUUGCUGCUGGUGUUCUGCAGGGGAAGAAAUGUACUGGAUACC